GGAGUCUGGGCCGUGUCUCAGUCCCAGUCUGGAUGAUCAUCUUCUCAAACCAUCUAACGAUCGUCGACUUGGUGAGCCAUUACCUCACCAACUAUCUAAUCGUACGCAGGCCAGUCCCAAACCGGAUAAAUCCUUUAAUCCGAAGAUCACAUGCGGUAUUAGCCACUCUUUCGAGUAGUUAUCCCUCAGUUUGGGGUCCGUUCCCACGCGUUACUCAGCCGUCCGCCGCUCGUCAGCAGCUUCACUGUGUCCUCGAAUCCAACAACUUGCACGAUGGCCAAGUGUGUCAAGAACACGGUGAAGCCCUGUUACCGCUCGACUUGCAUGUAUUAGGCAUGCCGCCAGCAUUCAUC
rnacentral:rRNA from 1 species